UUCUUAAAACACUGAUUGGAAGCCACAUGUUGAAAACGUAUCGUUGGAUUGGAUACUUAAUACGGCGUAAUUUUCUUUCUUGACAUUUUUAUUCGUAAUAAUGGUAUUUAUCUGGUAUCAGCCUAUAAUUUCUACAUGGCAAUUUCAUCUGAUCAUGUGGCCUGAGCAGCUGAACAUUUUGUCAAAAUGUCUCUUUUUCCUGUACCAGCUUCAUGUUUGUCAGAAACACUUCAGAACAAUUCAGGAUUAACACCCUGGUGGAGUUUGAGCUUCUUUGUUGCUGCCCAACUUACACAUGGAUUUGACGCAGCCAGCUGAGGGCUCUAAUUCUUGUUGAACAUAUAUGUUCGUGUAGUUGCUGUCCGAUGUGGCACGUUGUUGCAGCCUAUGCUGGUGAAAGAUCUUUCUACAUAAAGUUCAAUUGGCCGUUCCUUGGUGCUGGUGUCGUGUUACCGAAGUUGCAUCAUAUUUUGUUAAAUUGUCAUCGUGACUAUUGCAGUUUACCGUUUAUAAGUUCAGAAGCAACAAAAACAAAUAUGGGAUGUUUAUGUCAACAAAUAAUAAACAUGUUUCCGGGGUUGGGAAAGGAAAGUGGAGGAUGUUGGAGGGGGAGGGAGGAUAUUUAAAGUUUGGAUAAAAAUUCAGUUAAUCUAUUACCAUACAAAUGUUGCCCUACCAAUUAAUCUCCAAACCCCACAAACAUAUACCUUCCAAUCCUUCAAACCCCGAAAACAUACACCUACUAACCCCUAA